GGGGGUGACAUGGCUUCGACGCAGAUUACAAAAUUAUGGAUGCAUGUCGAGUUUUAUUAAUCAACUCGUUAAAUAAGAUUAAUAUUUUAGUAACUGGAAACUCCAGCAAAACAGCGAGAGCUGUUAAAAAUGAUGUUGUUUAUGCAGGUGCCCUUCAAAAGGCUGCAUAAGCAUUUAGUCGUCUAAACAACGACACAUCACCAUGAACUUUAAGUGCUUGUGCUUUUAGCUAGUGGUCAUAUCUCACAAGCUCGCGUCUUCAUGAGUCUGGAAUGAUCUCGCUAAAACUAUACAGACUAACGAAUUACUUACCUAUCUGGCUUGGGUAGUAAUUUGCAAUAUCAUCUAAGCCGGAUAAGCAUGUAGACUCCCUGAUGGCGAAUUUACGGACGCGGGUUCAACUCCCGCCACCUCCACCA
rnacentral:tmRNA from 1 species